rnacentral:misc_RNA from 1 species
GUUGCGCACGCGCCGGAGGUCGCGUCCCUUGAGUGUGCGUCCGGCGCCUUCCAUGACCGACGCCGCCGCCGCAGCGCGCCGCGCGGCCAUCUCGUGCGGCGGCACCACGGGCUCGCCGUCGUCGUCCUCGUCGUCCGCGGCCUGCAGCUCCGCUUCGCGGCGGCGCCUGUCCGCGGCCGUCAUCGCCUUGGGCCAGGCCGGCACGGCGACGGGGGCCGACUGGUGGCACGGGCGCGGGGCGUGCUGCUUCUCCGGGCGCGCGGCGGCCGGGACGGGCGCGGUGGGCGCGUGGUGGUCGUCGGCGUCGGCGAGGAGCGCGGACAGCCCCAUGCUGCCGGCGGGGAAGUGGCGGGACGAGGCGGAAAUCGGCCUCCCGAGGCUGGCGGUCGGGGACGCGGUCGGGGACGGCGAGGAGGCCGCGGAGGUCGAGGACGAGGAGGUCGCGCUGCCGGAGGACCAGACGACGUCGCGCUCGUCGAGCUCCAGCUCCUGGACGCCGUGGGACUGGGAGCUGGCGUCGUCGGGUUGCUUGAGCAGGCCGAGGAAGCGGAGCGACGGGGAGGCAGUGGCCAUGCGGCGACGCGGCGCGGACAUGGCCGCCGACAGUGCCGGGCUCGGCUCAGCUCCUUGGUGGCGCCCGCGUGUGGAGCUGGAGCUGGAGCUGGAGGUCGCCACUGGCCCUGCGCUGCGCGUCGCGGGUUUCGGCCUCUGCUUUGGGAGCGUUAUUAUUGGCGGGCUGCGGUGCGGACGCCAGUGGUGGCGAUGGCGGGCGUGGGCAGUGAAUUAUUGGGGCGUGAUGGCGACGAGAGGGGUCGCCCGGCGCUGGCGACCCCGUGUCGAGCGCUCCUGUGCGCGCCGGGGGGUUUGUGGUGGUGUUUGCUGCGGCCGAUAUCCAGCUUUUCGAGGAUAUGGACCUGAAAUCUGGAAUCAUUCCAUCCGGGCGAGCCAGCCGCUUCCCAGGGAAAUUGGAAGCGCAGGGACCGGAGGAACACGACAUUGCUGGCGACGGCAGCAGCGAAAGAUUGACGCCGACCGAUCAGUAAAAACAGAGAAGCGAUCAUGCUCGGUGCUGUGGGUAAUACGUCAUUGGCCGGGCAGUUGGCGGUUUUAGUUUACGGUGUGCUUCCAUGAUAAACAACAUCAUCUCGGCAUGACUGUCGAUUAAACAUAGCCCAAUCAAUUCGCUGCCUAAACUAACACAGUGGCCGCACGAAUCACGGGGGCGAUUGACAGGAUACCUACCACAACAACAAAAAAUUCCAUCGGGGGGAGACGGUUGAGAUAAUAAUUACACUCCUGACGUCCCACUCGGCGCUGGAUUUAUAAACUACAGAAAAAAAAUGAGGUUGCGAUGAUUGUUUGUUUGGUACGCUGAGGGUCUAUGCCUCAUCACGAGUGUUUCAUGGGACUUGUGUGAUGAUGAUAAUUCGAAUGUUUUUUUUUUGGUAUGACCUGAC